rnacentral:rRNA from 1 species
AGUGAACGCUGGCGGUAGGCCUAACACAUGCAAGUCGAACGGCAGCACAGGAGAGCUUGCUCUCUGGGUGGCGAGUGGCGGACGGGUGAGGAAUACAUCGGAAUCUACUAUGUCGUGGGCGAUAACGUAGGGAAACUUACGCUAAUACCGUAUACGACCUACGAGUGAAAGCAGGGGACCUUCGGGCCUUGCGCGAAUGAAGGAGCCGAUGUCGGCUUAGCUAGUUGGCGGGGUAAAGGCCCACCAAGGCGACGAUCCGUAGCUGGUCUGAGAGGAUGAUCAGCCACACUGGAACUGAGACACGGUCCAGAUUCCUACGGGAGGCAGCAGUGGGGAAUAUUGGACAAUGGGCGCAAGCCUGAUCCAGCCAUACCGCGUGGGUGAAGAAGGCCUUCGGGUUGUAAAGCCCUUUUGUUGGGAAAGAAAUCCAGCUGGCUAAUACCCGGUUGGGAUGACGGUACCCAAAGAAUAAGCACCGGCUAACUUCGUGCCAGCCGCCGCAGUAA